rnacentral:rRNA from 1 species
UACGUAGGGGGCAAGCGUUGUCCGGAAUCAUUGGGCGUAAAGCGCGUGUAGGCGGCCCGGUAAGUCCGCUGUGAAAGUCGGGGGCUCAACCCUCGAAUGCCGGUGGAUACUAUCCGGCUAGAGGAAUGGAGGGGAGACUGGAAUACUUGGUGUAGCAGUGAAAUGCGUAGAUAUCAAGUGGAACACCAGUGGCGAAGGCGAGUCUCUGGACAUUUCCUGACGCUGAGGCACGAAAGCCAGGGGAGCAAACGGG